rnacentral:snoRNA from 1 species
GGGCUGUGAUUAGAAAGAGAGAGGCUUGAGUGGGAAUGCUCCAAACACUGGAGCAAACCCAAUUCGAAUCUGAAAGGAGAAAGAAAACAAAGAAAACCAGAAAAGUCGCCGCCCCUUUUCAUCCAAAGGCAGAGGCUUUGGCGUCUCUGGAAAAAAAAUCUUUGCUUUCUUUCCUCUUUCGUUUCCAAUUGGGUUUCGACCCACAAUGACAGGCCAUCCAAUUUCUAUACACUUGAUAUGAGCCCU